rnacentral:rRNA from 1 species
UACGAAGGGGGCUAGCGUUGUUCGGAGUUACUGGGCGUAAAGGGCGCGUAGGCGGCGCAUCAAGUCAGGCGUGAAAGCCCUGGGCUCAACCCGGGAAUUGCGCUUGAGACUGGUGUGCUCGAGUACGGGAGAGGAUAGUGGAAUUCCCAGUGUAGAGGUGAAAUUCGUAGAUAUUGGGAAGAACACCAGUGGCGAAGGCGGCUAUCUGGACCGUAACUGACGCUGAGGCGCGAAAGCGUGGGGAGCGAACAGG